GAUGAAGAACGUAGCGAAAUGCGAUAAGUAGUGUGAAUUGCAGAAUUCAGUGAAUCAUCGAAUCUUUGAACGCACAUUGCGCCUCUCGGUAUUCCGUGGGGCAUGCCUGUUCGAGCGUCAUUUAACCCCUCAAGCCUAGCUUGGUAUUGGGUGCUUGUCCCGCCUCUCGCGCGGCGACUCACCUCAAAGUCAUUGGCAGCCCGCAUCUCGCCGGCCGUGAGCGCAGCACAGACGCGCUCUUGGCAACGACGGAUCGGCUCUCCAAAAGCUUAUUUCAACCACUGACCUCGGAUCAGGUAGGGAUACCCGCUGAACUUAAGCAUAUCAAUAAGCGGAGGA
rnacentral:misc_RNA from 1 species